AGAGUUUGAUCAUGGCUCAGAAUCAACGCUGGCGGCGUGCCUCAGACAUGCAAGUCGAACGAUUAAAGCUCUCUUCGGAGAGUGCAUAGAGUGGCGUACGGGAGAGUAACACGUAAGUAAUCUACCCUCGGGUGGGGAAUAACUUAAGGAAACUUAAGCUAAUACCGCAUAAUGCAGCGGCUCCGUAAGGAGACAGUUGUUAAAGCAUUUAUGUGCCUGGGGAGGAGCUUGCGGCAGAUUAGCUAGUUGGUAAGGUAACGGCUUACCAAGGCAACGAUCUGUAGCCGGUCUAAGAGGACGGUCGGUCUCACUGACACUGAAUAACGGGUCAGACUCCUACGGGAGGCAGCAGUCGGGAAUUUUGGGCAAUGGGCGAAAGCCUGACCCAGCAACGCCGCGUGAAGGAUGAAGUCUCUAGGGAUGUAAACUUCGGAAAUAUGGGAAGAAUAAAUGACGGUACCAUAUCUAAGGUCCGGCUAACUACGUGCCAGCAGCCGCGGUAAUACGUAGGGACCAAGCGUUGUUCGGAUUUACUGGGCGUAAAGGGUGCGUAGGCGGCGCCGCAAGUCAAUUGUGAAAUCUCCGGGCUUAACUCGGAACGGCCAAUUGAUACUGCAGUGCUAGAGUGCAGAAUGGGCAAGUGGAAUUCUUGGUGUAGCGGUGAAAUGCGUAGAUAUCAAGAGGAACACCUGAGGCGAAGGC
rnacentral:rRNA from 1 species